UACGUAGGGGGCAAGCGUUAUCCGGAUUUACUGGGUGUAAAGGGGGCGCAGACGGCGAUGCAAGCCAGGAGUGAAAGCCCGGGGCCCAACCCCGGGACUGCUCUUGGAACUGCGUGGCUGGAGUGCAGGAGGGGCAGGCGGAAUUCCUGGGGUAGCGGUGAAAUGCGUAGAUAUCAGGAGGAACCCCGGUGGCGAAGGCGGCCUGCUGGACUGCAACUGACGUUGAGGCCCGAAAGCGUGGGGAGCAAACAGG
rnacentral:rRNA from 1 species